rnacentral:rRNA from 1 species
CCUACGGGGGGCAGCAGUGAGGAAUAUUGGUCAAUGGGAGAGAUCCUGAACCAGCCAAGCCGCGUGAGGGAAGACGGCCCUAUGGGUUGUAAACCUCUUUUGUCGGAGAACAAAACCCGGGACGAGUCCCGGACUGCGUGUAUCCGAAGAAAAAGCAUCGGCUAACUCCGUGCCAGCAGCCGCGGUAAUACGGAGGAUGCGAGCGUUAUCCGGAUUUAUUGGGUUUAAAGGGUGCGUAGGCGGUCUGUUAAGUCAGUGGUAACAUUGCGGGGCUCAACCCCGUCGAGCCGUUGAAACUGGCAGACUUGAGUUGGACAGAAGUACGCGGAAUGCGAGGUGUAGCGGUGAAAUGCAUAGAUAUCGCGCAGAACUCCGAUUGCGAAGGCAGCGUACCGGCGCCAGACUGACGCUGAGGCACGAAAGCGUGGGGAGCGAACAGGAUUAGAUACCCUUGUAGUC